rnacentral:rRNA from 1 species
UACAGAGGUCCCAAGCGUUGUUCGGAUUCAUUGGGCGUAAAGGGUGCGUAGGCGGCGCGGUAAGUCGGGUGUGAAAUCUCGGAGCUUAACUCCGAAACUGCAUUCGAUACUGCCGUGCUUGAGGACUGGAGAGGAGACUUGGAAUUUACGGUGUAGCGGUGAAAUGCGUAGAUAUCGUAAGGAAGACCAGUGGCGAAGGCGGGUCUCUGGACAGUUCCUGACGCUGAGGCACGAAGGCCAGGGGAGCAAACGGG